UACAGAGGGUGCAAGCGUUACUCGGAAUUACUGGGCGUAAAGCGCACGGAGGCGGGUUUUUAAGUCAGAUGUGAAAGCCCCGGGCUCAACCUGGGAAUUGCAUUUGAAACUGGGAAACUAGAGUGUGUGAGAGGGGGGUAGAAUUCCAAGUGUAGCGGUGAAAUGCGUAGAGAUUUGGAGGAAUACCAGUGGCGAAGGCGGCCCCCUGGCACAACACUGACGCUCAGGUGCGAAAGCGUGGGGAGCGAACAGG
rnacentral:rRNA from 1 species